UACGUAGGGGGCGAGCGUUGUCCGGAUUUAUUGGGCGUAAAGAGCGUGUAGGCGGCCAGGUAGGUCUGCUGUGAAAACUCGAGGCUCAACCUCGAGACGUCGGCGGAAACCAUCUGGCUAGAGUCCGGAAGAGGAGAGUGGAAUUCCUGGUGUAGCGGUGAAAUGCGCAGAUAUCAGGAAGAACACCCGUGGCGAAGGCGGCUCUCUGGGACAGUACUGACGCUGAGACGCGAAAGCGUGGGUAGCAAACAGG
rnacentral:rRNA from 1 species